rnacentral:rRNA from 1 species
UUUUAAUUGAAGGCUUGUAUGAAGGGUCGGACAAAGGAUAAGCUGUCUUUAAUCUUUCUUUUGAAUUUGUCUUUUAAGUGAAAAGACUUAAAUUAUUUUAAGGGACGAUAAGACCCUAUAAAGCUUUAUAUUAAUAUGUCUUUAUUUUAAUUUUUAAUGUUCACAGAGAUAAAGGCGUUAAAAUAUUAUAUUGGGGUGAUAAGAAUAAUUAAUAAACUGUUCUAAAAUAAACAAAGUUAUUUGUAAGCAUAAUAGAUCCUUUAUAUAGAUUGUAAGUUUAAGUUACUUUAGGGAUAACAGCGUUAUUUUUUUUGAGAGUUCUAAUCGAAAAAAAAGUUUGCGACCUCGAUGUUGAAUUAAAAUUUCUUUAUGGUGUAGCCGUUAUAAAAGAAAGUCUGUUCGACUUUUAAAAUUUUACGUGAUCU